GGACAUUACUGGUAGUCCGUAUUCAACCGUCGGUCGUUACGCGACGGUGCGCCGCAUAAUAACUGCAAGUAAGCUGAAUUCGUACUAGAACUGACGAUGAGUUGUGAAAGGCCGAGUCGAAAACAGACGCAUAUGGUUUUAAUUAGAUGGGACAUCCCCAUCACAAAUAUAAUCGAAAAUUAUUCGUUGGACUUUUUAUUUUCGCCAAUAAAGCUUUAUUGAUGUUCCCACAGUCCAAUUAUGUACACGAACUUCGAUCUGCCGCCGUGGUGUUACAUUUGGGUAUCGUUUAACUACAGGAUAUCCGAAAUAAAUUUCCGGUUAUUUUCGUUAUGAUUUGGAUGCUGCUGACCGACCGUACAAUGCGUGCAUUAUGGACCGUGUUAAUUAUUUGUGAUAAGUACAUCAGGACAAACGAUGACACACGGCCGGUAAACGAAAACGCUGCUAUUGGAGGAUGUACAUAUACAUCAUUCGCGAGCGAAAAUGUAUACUACGUGUGUGUUUGAAUAUAUAUAUAUACACUACAGAGCACGGGGGUGUUUUUUUUUUGGAGAGGAGUACACAGAAUCCUCGUACAUCCUACAUCCGUUAUUCAUUUGGUUCGGUCGCCGUUUUUAGCGCAAGAAUUAACAAGUGCGGCCUAUCCCUGCCGACUAAUUAACUGCACCCGCCGCCACAGCAGCAGCAGCAGCAGCAGCAGCAGCAGCAGCAGUCAGAGAGGAAGAGUACAACGAUAUAAUACAUUACGAUUCCGGAGGACUAUUUGGACCACGCGUGAGAAGGAUGCGCAAAGAUGUAUGAGAUAGAAAACGCGACGCUCGCCAGGACUCGCCACAGCCAGCAUUAUAUACACAAGGAGCGAGGGACGGCACCAGGCAGCCGGAUCCAAUAAUACAGCAGUUAUUUACGACCAAUAGCUCAAUUCCUCAAUUUCGGGAUCCCGCAGGAGCGGCUUACACGCUCGCACGCUCACGUCCCGGGGCCGCCCGCGCCAGGGGACUAGUAAACUAUACGUUCGCACACUCGUCCUGAUGCAUUGUUGCAGCGUUGCAGCAGCGAACCGGGAGACAGGAAGACGGUUGUAAUCUUCCGGCCCCAUAAAUCCGAACAUAUUUUAUACAAUGCGCACCUUCGAUUUAAUUAUCAGUGAAUUUGAUGGAUUGCUACAGGUUUCCAAUGCAUAUCCUACUAUAUGGUGGUAAUUAUUCCCUAGCGGUGUUAUUGUAUUCGUAUACCUAUUUGGGUUUCAGAAGCCACACGUUUCGUUAUGGAGCUUGAUACUAGUCACUAGAUUUGUCAAGUAAACGUUCGGGAAUCCUGCAGAACACCGAAUACAUUAAUACAUAUAUGAAUAACAAUACAUAAGUAUUAUAUAUGAUCGUGCUCGUCUAACGGCAGAGCCACAGUGGUCGUUUAUACAGUCAUACUAUAGUUUUUGAUGUGUGGCUACUUUGUUAAUUUCAUUUUUUUUUAUUUAAUGAAUUGUUAUACGCUCUCAACAUAUUUGCAUAAAACAAUGGAGUUAUUAAAACUAAAUUCAAACGUAGCUGUGAACAUUAUACACAUUUAAACGUACUGCAGUAAACGGAAUGAAGACUUCUGUCGGAAAAGUUUAUUAGGAAAUCGCACCCCCAUUGAUCAGCGAGUACGAGCAGUUAACGGGACGAAAUCGAAAGCCCCGUAAAAUAUGCGCGGAACCUACAACCCCAAAUUGACAACUUCCGUAAUAUAUACCAACAUCUUUAUAUACAGGGUCAUCUCGCGGAUACACACGACGACGACGUUUUACUCGCGAAUCUUUUCCAUAUACUGCGUGCGCUCUCAAAAACGUGUACGGUGUACCUAUAGAUGGGUAUUAUUAUACGCGUGCAUAAAUGUAUAACGUAUAUUAUAUAUAAUAUAUUUUAUAAACAUCAGGUAUAUGUAUACCGAUGUAUGUAUGUAUGUAUGUAUAAUAAUAUAAUACAGAAUGUACCUGCAGCAGCCUACGCGUAUGUACGACUCGGAAAAUACUGCAGCUCAGAUUACAAUCGCGGGUAAUCAGCAAUCGUAUUAACUGUGUUGCUAAUAAUAUAAUAUUAUGUAUGUAUGCACAUCGUAUAAACUAUACGUAUACUCAUUUAUUGUGGUUCACGCGUGUAGUUUAGUUUUUUUUACGUCUAAUUAGCGAUCGCAUUUUUUUUUUUUUUUUGUUCAAGCCAAACACUCCACUGGAGAAAUGAACAUACUCGACAACAUCAAAUGGACUAAACGAUGAUAAUUAUUAAAUACGAUACAGAAUUACAGAAUAACAUGCGUGCUGCACUGAAUCAAAAAAAAUUAUAUUAUAUUAUAUACCUAUUUGACGUGUGUACCUAAUGUUUAAUACUUUAUUUAAUUUACAUUAAACGCUUUGUUGUACCGCAUACAUCAACAUAAUAAACCUAUUAAUAUAUUGUACAAAUACAAA